CGGACGAAGAAGAGCUGCUUUCUGACAGCGACGACGACCUUUACUAUGACAACUACGUCGAAGACGACUGUCCGUUUACCACAGACCCUUUACCAGUUACGCAUGUACGCACGGAAGAAUGCACGGAUACGGACGAUGAGGCUCCUUCGUCGCCGGAGAUUCCCAUUCAAGCAGCAGAUUUGUUUAGGUGUUGGUGCUUGGGCUGCAAUCCGGAACGCCCAGAUGAAUUUCUGUGCUGCCGAAGCGUCGUGCUCAUUUCCCAAAUCUGUGACGAAAACAACAUCGAUUGCAUUGCUCAGCAUCAUAUGUUUCCACUGUUGUGCCUUAACCGCGAAAUUCUCUCAGUUUUCGUACGGCACAUGAGGCACUACAUCCCCACCCAACUGGAGCAACACAGAGACGAGAACAGCACACUCCGGUUUGCAGCAUAUACCUUGUUUGUAUGUUGGGUGUGGGGCCGCCUUGGCCGUGGACAUCGCAGGCAAAUACCCGGCUGCUGCGUAUUAGCUAUUCGCAGUGCAUUUCCAUCAGCAGUGUAUCACGGGUAUCAAGGUGGGAGAGAUGCAACAAACAGUUCCGAUGAGCAAUCUAUUGAAGUUGCUAUGAUUUGUAUUGACCACCCAAUGAAUUUUUUCAGAGAUUGCUCACUGUAUGAUUGGAGAACGAUUUUGCUGUGCAGCCUUCCUUGAAACCUGGCUGUACUCUUGUACAAGCUACACAGAAACCAACCGUGAAAAACAAAUAAUUUUUAUUUACAUUUAUUUGCGUUGAUAAAAAACACACAUGUGAUAUAUGGUGCAGAGAUUACAGGACUUUUGGAUGUUUAGCAGAAGUUACAGGUCCAUCCAAGGACCCAUGUUGAAAAAUGCGACAGGAUUGUUUUAUCAUUGCAUGUCUAGCACAUUGUCCUAGACAUCCUAAAUCAUAAGAGAAGUACGUGUGUUUACAGUACCCAGUUUUGAACCACUUAUGGAAUUUAGAAGCUUUCUUGUUAUUAUCUGCUUUGUAUAAUCAUGUUCUUUCUCAUUGCAGGAUAAUGCGUCGUAAGACUCAUCAGCAUGUAGUGUGCAGUAUGUAA